GGUAACUUGGCCGAGCGGUCUAAGGCGCCAGACUCAAGCUUCAAAAGCUUCAUCCGUCCAACGGAUGAGCAUUCUGGUCUCGCAAGAGGCGUGAGUUCGAAUCUCACAGUUAUCA
rnacentral:tRNA from 2 species